UUGUUUCACAGGUUUCAGGAUGUCGGCGAGUUUGCAGUGGUCAAUAAUAAGAAAUAACUCUUCAUUCCUUGUGAAGAGUUUGGGGAAUACUUUUACCAAGGUGUGUUUGAAUGUUUAGUGCUAAUUUAGAGCUCAUUAGUCCUCAGAGCCUGAUCAAAUCAGGGUUCUAAUUAGUGGCUCGCUAUUCGCAAUUUGCGAAUGUAAAUUUGCUUUUUGCAAAUGCAAAAUUCGCUUUUUGCGAACGCAAAAUCAUCCAUUUUGUGAAUGACGUUUUGCAACAAUGUAUUAAGGUUUACAUAAAAGAUUGAUUUUCCCAAUCACUUUGAAUGUAUUUUACUAUAGUGGAAGAUAUGAUAGAGUAUUUUGCUGACUAUUAUUGUAAUUUUGUACUAAAAAGAUGUGUGAAAUGAAGAAUAUGGCUACAAUUUCUUCAGAAAAUUUACGAAAUUCACUAUGAAACGACCGUCAUUUUGUUUUUUUGCAAGCAGUGUUUCCAAUGUUCAAAACUAACGAAUCAAUUUUUCCUGUCUUAUUCGUACCCUGCAAAUGAGGCAGAUUAAUCUAAAUAAUUUCCCAAUUAAUCAGUAAUGAGGUCUGUGCCAGUGUACAGUAGGUAGCAACGAUAAUAAGCUAUGGAUUGAGAGAGAGAAUGGGCCAUUAUAGACUAAAUUUUCAUGCAUUAUAGACUGUCUAGACAAGAAUUUCAUCACAACUUGAAAGAGCAUCACAAAAUUAGUAAUAUUCCAAAGUUUUGUUGCGAAAUGUUGUAAAAUGCGGAUAAUAUAUAGCCUUGCGACGUUUGCCGUUCAGUCAUUUUGCAUUACGCGGGGGAAAUUGACAGCCCAAUACACUUUGGGGCUGUCAAUUUCCCGUUUGUAAUACAAAAUGACUGAAAAACGGCAAACUUUGCAAGGCUAUAUUAUCCGCAUUUUACAACAUAUCACAACAAAACUUUGGAAUAUUACUAAUUCUGUGAUGCUUUUUCAAGCUGUGAUGAAAUUUUUGCCUAGACUUGUUGAGAUCAAAAUUUAGUCUAUAAUGCAAAUGGUCCAUUGGACUUGGUUCAAAUCCAUCUCUCAAGGGGGUGAAAAUAGUGAUGAAUGGGAGUGAUGAAAAGGCGCAAAAAAAAAUAUGAGAGAAAAAUAAGGAGAGCCAGACUUUGGACAUUUGUAAGCGCUGCAAAAUUUGUUGUUGGAUUUUUCCUACGGAGAGUCAUGGCUUGCAAGCUGACAAUAACAGGGAUAAUUUUUCACACCAAGUUUACAAGUAACAUUUGAAAAGUUGUGAAUGUCCUAAGUCCAUCUCCAAGAUACGUCAAAACGCUGAAGUUCUGCUCGUAUUUUUCAAGUACUUGUAUCUCUAAAUCUGCAGUUGCUUGUGCAUUAAACUCAAAUGUUAUGAUGGCACAGACCUCGUUACUGAUUAAUAAUUUUUCACAGCUCUAGCAUGCAUAUUUCUGCAAUUCAUAAUGUUUCAUGUCGAUUAGAUGGUAGCUAGUUAACCCAUUAACCAUUAAGAUGCAUUGCAUCCUACUUUAUUAUUUUUUACUUGUCAAGGGGAGAGCUCUGGCAUUCAGUGGGUUAACAUCAGAAACUUAAAGUUGAAUUUUGUUUGUUAACCAUGUAUGACUUGUCUAACACCCAGCCUUAUUAUCUCAAAGCAAGGUCAAAUUCAUGCUCGAUCAUGUAGACUGCUAGCCUGCAGGCUAGUAGACUGCAGGUAUAAAAAAAUUGCAGUUGCCAUAGAGUAUUUUAAUAAAACACAAAACAAUGGACACUCUGAAAAUCGUAAACAUUUUCAUUCUUUACGUUUUGGCUAUAAUUUAAGUCAUCUUCAGAAGAAUGCCACUAUAAGUAGUUGGCUUUUCAAAAUACAUGGCAUUCUUCUGAAGAUGACUUAAGUUAUAGUCAAAACGUAAAGAAUGAAAAUGUUUACGAUUUUCGGAGUGUUUAUUGUUUUCUGUUUUAUUAAAAUACUAUAGACUAUAAUUUUUGUAUAUGGUAUAACAUCUACUGUACUGUAACCUGAAUAGAGAAACACACCUUCAAAGGCUGAACAAUAGAGCUCACAAAAAUCAUAGAGAGCUUUAAGUAUCAUUCAUUAAGUUAAGUUAAGGUCAAUCUUUUUAGUUCAUAACAAUACUGAAAUUAGCAUUUUUCUGUUGCAGGAACCCAACAAUCUCGCAGGAAAAAAUGCAUUCAAGUAUAAUGGUCUUGUCAACAAAAAGGUAUGUGGGAUUAUGAUAAUAACUUGAAGAUAUAGUAUAUCAAUCUUGAAUUAAUCUUGCAUGUUGGGCGGCAUGUACUGUAGGUAACAAAGAUUGCAAUUUGCAGGCUUGGGUGUUUGAUGUAACUACAUGAAAAUAAAAAUGAACUUGACAUAAUAUGUGUCUUAUUUCCUAACUUGACACUGUCCACGCCAAUGGUAUUAAUGAAUUUUUGCUAUCUACUUAGGUUUAAUUUGCCCAUGCCUUGUAUCAGGAGAAAUUGACAGUAUUACCUCACUUCAUUUUUGUUUUUCUGUAUUUCUUGUAUAUCUUCAUUCGGGUUUUUUACCUAUAGUAUCUUCAAUCUCAAUGACUAUAUUCUGGAAUGUGAUUUACAAAUUUUGAUUACACUUUUUUUUACCAAACCUAUCUUUCUAUAACUUGGCAGUAUAUCCACUAUCUAAGCAGACUUCUAUAGGUGCAUUGUGUAUGUUCUUUGUCGCAAACACCAGCACUUAUUAUUGUAAUACUGCAUAUCGAAAUGUUCAUGGUUUAGGCUCCCCAAAGAAAAUUGCACAGUUUUUGUUUGAUAUAUCUUAUGCAUGGUUUCGAAUCAAAACUCAGGGGUUCUAUGUCAGCUUUAGUACAGAUAGGAAACCUGGGACUCAGUGUAGAUUGUUGUGGAUACUUGACAACCUGUAAAAUAAGUAUUGUCAAUUGAGUUUGUAGGACAGCACAGCUAAACAGUAUUCACAUAUGAUGUAAUCAUAGUGAUUAUACUACAUCAUCUGUAGUAUUCACAUAUGAUGUAAUCAAGUAUUGAUGUAAUGUUGUAAACUAUAGGUUGUUGGUGUUGAGCCCAGUCCUGAUGGUAAAGGUGUGUUGCUUGUAACCAAGAAAAAACGAGGUAAGAU
rnacentral:lncRNA from 1 species